rnacentral:rRNA from 1 species
CCUGCAGCUUGCUGCGGGUACUCGAGUGGCGAACGGGUGAGUAACACGUGGGUGAUCUGCCUUGCACUUCGGGAUAAGCUUGGGAAACUGGGUCUAAUACCGGAUAGGACAGCUGUUUAGUGUCAGUUGUGGAAAGUUUUUUCGGUGCAAGAUGAGCUCGCGGCCUAUCAGCUUGUUGGUGGGGUAAUGGCCUACCAAGGCGUCGACGGGUAGCCGGCCUGAGAGGGUGUACGGCCACAUUGGGACUGAGAUACGGCCCAGACUCCUACGGGAGGCAGCAGUGGGGAAUAUUGCACAAUGGGCGGAAGCCUGAUGCAGCGACGCCGCGUGGGGGAUGAAGGCCUUCGGGUUGUAAACUCCUUUCGACAGGGACGAAGCGUAAGUGACGGUACCUGUAUAAGAAGCACCGGCUAACUACGUGCCAGCAGCCGCGGUAAUACGUAGGGUGCGAGCGUUGUCCGGAAUUACUGGGCGUAAAGAGCUCGUAGGUGGUUUGUCGCGUCGUCUGUGAAAUUCCGGGGCUUAACUCCGGGCGUGCAGGCGAUACGGGCUGACUUGAGUGCUGUAGGGGAGACUGGAAUUCCUGGUGUAGCGGUGAAAUGCGCAGAUAUCAGGAGGAACACCGAUGGCGAAGGCAGGUCUCUGGGCAGUAACUGACGCUGAGGAGCGAAAGCAUGGGUAGCGAACAGGAUUAGAUACCCUGGUAGUCCAUGCCGUAAACGGUGGGCGCUAGGUGUAGGGGGCUUCCACGUCUUCUGUGCCGUAGCUAACGCAUUAAGCGCCCCGCCUGGGGAGUACGGCCGCAAGGCUA